rnacentral:rRNA from 1 species
AAUGAACGUUGGCGGCGUGGAUUAGGCAUGCAAGUCGUGCGAUAACCCCGCAAGGGGGGAAAGCGGCGAAAGGGAGAGUAACGCGUGGGUACCUGCCCCUUGGUCCGGAAUAGCUGCGGGAAACUGCAGGUAAUGCCGGAUAAUAUCCUCGGAUCAAAGGUGUGAUUCCGCCGAGGGAGGGGCCCGCGUUCUAUUAGCUAGUUGGUAGGGUAAUGGCCUACCAAGGCGACGAUGGAUACCGGGUGUGAGAGCAUGACCCGGCUCACUGGGACUGAGACACUGCCCAGACACCUACGGGUGGCUGCAGUCGAGAAUCUUCGGCAAUGGGCGCGAGCCUGACCGAGCGACGCCGCGUGCGGGAUGAAGGCCUUCGGGUUGUAAACCGCUGUCGUAGAGGAGGAAAUGCCAUGGGGUUCUCUCCAUGGUUUGACCUAUUCUAGGAGGAAGGACGGGCUAAGUUCGUGCCAGCAGCCGCAGUAA